ensembl:Mt_tRNA
ACUCCCUUAGUAUAGUAGUAUAGCUGACUUCCAAUCAGCAGGCCCCACCAGUUGUGGGAAGGAGUA